rnacentral:lncRNA from 1 species
CAGUGCCACAGUGCAUAGCUUAUACAUUACAAUGCAGCGUGCCAAUUAUAUUUUUCUUAAAAAAAAGUAGAAGCAAAGCAGGUGAUAAUACACGCGAACAUGCCCUUGAGUACAAAUUAAAAGACAUUCAAAAUGAUGGUGUAUAAUUAUGCACAUAUCAUUUUAGCCACUUAUCAAAGAGCAUGUAUGUAACAUCCGCAAAAUUACCAACCUAAAAUCACCCGUUAAAAAUCGCGUUUAAAAUCUUUUUACCGCUGAGCUUCCGGAAAUCUAAAAUCUUCCCGGCGAUUUCGCCAUCCCGGCACCCAAGCCAACCCCCAUCAUUUUAUCCGUGCCCGUUUUUCUCGCCGCGUGCCGUCGUCAGACGCCGCGCGCGAGUUCCGACCGCGUGCCGCGAACGCCGCCAGUCUCCCCUUUUUCUUUCUCUUUUUCCCUCCCCUUUUCUUCUUCUUUCUUCUCCUUCUUCCUUUCUUUUUCCUCUUCUUCCUUCUUCCUCCCUCCUUCUUCUCUCUCCUCCUUCCUUCUUCUUCCUGGCGCCACUCCCCCCGGUCGACCCCAACGACACCCCCCUGGCCGGACCCC